UCCCUGGUGGUCUAGUGGCCAAGACUUUGCACUGUCAAUACAGGGGGCCCAGGUUCAAUCUCUGGUCAGGGAA